GUUGUUUUCUGUGUGUUAGUUCUGAUUUAUUUUUGUCUUACUUGCAGUAAUUGGGAGAUACAUUCAGAAAUCUCCGUAACAUGGAAACUACGGCGGUUCGUCGCUGGUCUAAUUAAGGGAUGGCGAGCGUACUUUGUGCUGAUGUACCGCCACAUCCAAGGAUGCUGACGUGCCCUAGCCAAAGCGCGAAUGUCAAAAUGAGAAAACGAGUCUAAAAUAGCCCGGACUGAACUCAAACUCACUAGAUAGCUGGAGCUAACUUUGAACUUCUGUCCCCCUUUCCCUCUCUCCAAUGCCACCAUACCAACUUAUUUAUUCUGUGUGUAUGUGUGUGUGUGUAUGUGUGUACUCAUUAAUAUGUUACUCAUAUAGGUAGUUUCUUUUUAGCUACUCAUUUUUAUUAACAUAUAUUAAUUGUAUAAAGUAAAUUGGUUUCAUUAUGAUAUUCUAAUAUACCAUGUAAUAUAGUUUAAUCAUAGUCCAUUUCUUUUUAAACACUGGGUAAGGUCUCACUCUUCAUUUCUAAUGUUUGAUGAUA